rnacentral:tRNA from 1 species
GCCGUGAUCGUAUAGUGGUUAGUACACUCCUUUCUGGACGCAAUAACGCAGGUUCGAAUUCUGGGUCACGGCA